rnacentral:rRNA from 1 species
UGGGAAUGUGCCUUUUGGUUCGGAACAACCCAGGGAAACUUGGGCUAAUACCGGAUAAGCCCUUACGGGAAAGAUUUAUCGCCAAAAGAUCGGCCCGCGUCUGAUUAGCUAGUUGGUGGGGUAAUGGCCCACUAAGGCUACGAUCAGUAGCUGGUCUGAGAGGAUGAUCAGCCACAUUGGGACUGAGACACGGCCCAAACUCCUACGGGAGGCAG